rnacentral:rRNA from 1 species
GAUGAACGCUGGCGGCGUGCCUAAUACAUGCAAGUCGAGCGAACAGACGAGGAGCUUGCUCCUCUGACGUUAGCGGCGGACGGGUGAGUAACACGUGGAUAACCUACCUAUAAGACUGGGAUAACUUCGGGAAACCGGAGCUAAUACCGGAUAAUAUAUUGAACCGCAUGGUUCAAUAGUGAAAGACGGUUUUGCUGUCACUUAUAGAUGGAUCCGCGCCGCAUUAGCUAGUUGGUAAGGUAACGGCUUACCAAGGCAACGAUGCGUAGCCGACCUGAGAGAGUGAUCGGCCACACUGGAACUGAGACACGGUCCAGACUCCUACGGGAGGCAGCAGUAGGGAAUCUUACGCAAUGGGCGAAAGCUUGACGGAGCAACGCCGCGUGAGUGAUGAAGGUCUUCGGAUCGUAAAACUCUGUUAUUAGGGAAGAACAAAUGUGUAAGUAACUAUGCACGUCUUGACGGUACCUAAUCAGAAAGCCACGGCUAACUACGUG